UACAUAGGGUCCAAGCGUUAUCCGGAAUCACUGGGCGUAAAGCGUGCGUAGGUGGAUGUUUAAGUGUGAUGUUAAAUCGUGUGGCUCAACCAUAUCGAUGCAUCGCAUACUGGACGUCUAGAGGACAGCAGAGGCAGGUGGAAUUGGUAGUGUAGCAGUGAAAUGCGUAGAUAUUACCAGGAACACCAAUGGCGAAGGCAGCUUGCUGGGCUACUCCUGACACUGAGGUACGAAAGCGUGGGGAGCGAACAGG
rnacentral:rRNA from 1 species